CGGGUGAGUAACACGUGGGUGAUCUGCCCUGUACUUCGGGAUAAGCCUGGGAAACUGGGUCUAAUACCGGAUAUGACCCUCUACUGCAUGGUGGAGGGUGGAAAGAUUUAUCGGUACAGGAUGGGCCCGCGGCCUAUCAGCUUGUUGGUGGGGUAACGGCCUACCAAGGCGACGACGGGUAGCCGACCUGAGAGGGUGACCGGCCACACUGGGACUGAGACACGGCCCAGACUCCUACGGGAGGCAGCAGUGGGGAAUAUUGCACAAUGGGCGAAAGCCUGAUGCAGCGACGCCGCGUGGGGGAUGACGGCCUUCGGGUUGUAAACCCCUUUCGACAGGGACGAAGCGCAAGUGACGGUACCUGUAGAAGAAGCACCGGCCAACUACGUGCCAGCAGCCGCGGUAAUACGUAGGGUGCGAGCGUUGUCCGGAAUUACUGGGCGUAAAGAGCUUGUAGGCGGUCUGUCGCGUCUUCUGUGAAAACUUGGGGCUCAACCUUAAGCUUGCAGGGGAUACGGGCAGACUAGAGUACUUCAGGGGAGACUGGAAUUCCUGGUGUAGCGGUGAAAUGCGCAGAUAUCAGGAGGAACACCGGUGGCGAAGGCGGGUCUCUGGGAAGUAACUGACGCUGAGAAGCGAAAGCAUGGGUAGCAAACAGGAUUAGAUACCCUGGUAGUCCAUGCCGUAAACGGUG
rnacentral:rRNA from 1 species